GAUGAAUGCUGGCGGCGUGCUUAACACAUGCAAGUCGAACGGAGAUCAUUUUAAUGAGGCUUCGGCGGAUUUGAUCUGAUCUUAGUGGCGGACGGGUGAGUAACGCGUGGGUAACCUGCCUUAUACAGGGGAUAACAGCCGGAAACGGCUGCUAAUACCGCAUAAGCGCACAGAGGCGCAUGCUUCAGUGUGAAAAACUCCGGUGGUAUGAGAUGGACCCGCGUCUGAUUAGCUGGUUGGUGGGGUAACGGCCUACCAAGGCGACGAUCAGUAGCCGGCCUGA
rnacentral:rRNA from 1 species